UACGUAGGGUGCAAGCGUUGUCCGGAAUUAUUGGGCGUAAAGAGCUCGUAGGCGGUUUGUCGCGUCUGCCGUGAAAGUCCGGGGCUCAACUCCGGAUCUGCGGUGGGUACGGGCAGACUAGAGUGAUGUAGGGGAGACUGGAAUUCCUGGUGUAGCGGUGAAAUGCGCAAAUAUCAGGAGGAACACCGAUGGCGAAGGCAGGUCUCUGGGCAUUAACUGACGCUGAGGAGCGAAAGCAUGGGGAGCGAACAGG
rnacentral:rRNA from 1 species